AUCCCUUCCUAACAUAGCGUGGCCCGGGCGUACGUGGCCCCUUCGACCAGCUUACCAACCGUGGGUCGGGCGUGCUAGGCCCCUUCGCCCCCACUCUAUAGCGUGGCCCGGGCGUACAAGGCCCGUCCAACCAGCUUACUAACCGAUAAGGAUAUUACAGAACGACCGAAAAGAACUAAAAUACCGAUGUACCCACUAAUAAAAGAAAAUAAAACGAUGAUCGAUGUACCCACUAAUCACCACAAAAUAUUGCAACUAACUUGCACACUCGCUAAAAACAGAUGUAUCGUCAGGAGGUGGGCCUAUAACUUCAGCUAUUUUCUGAAAUAGCUUCCUAACCGGAAGCGAAGAGAGACAUUUCUUCGUUCAAUGUAACUAACUGAAUUAGUUAAAUCUUGAAAGUGGGGGUGGAUCUUAUCCCACUUCUGAUGUAGUCUUUCGACUAAUUGGAAGCUCGUUUUCUAUAUUCGCAGGGCGCGGGCGUAGGUUAUACUCGCACUCUUUACAAUAUUAUGUAGGUAGUACUUAAAAUGAUUAUAACAAAAUUGUAAUGCGAUCCGAUCCAAUCUAUCGUGUGGCAUAGGGAGUAACUCAGAGCAGUGCCUAGGACUUGCGACCCAGGUGUAGGUUUAAGGAGAUCUCCUUUGUGAUACG
rnacentral:misc_RNA from 1 species